rnacentral:rRNA from 1 species
UACGUAGGGUCCGAGCGUUGUCCGGAAUUAUUGGGCGUAAAGGGCUCGUAGGCGGUUUGUCGCGUCGGGAGUGAAAACACGGGGCUUAACCCCGUGCCUGCUUCCGAUACGGGCAGACUAGAGGUAUGCAGGGGAGAACGGAAUUCCUGGUGUAGCGGUGAAAUGCGCAGAUAUCAGGAGGAACACCGGUGGCGAAGGCGGGUCUCUGGGCCGAUACUGACACUGAGGAGCGAAAGCGCGGGGAGCGAACAGG